UUUCCACCGCAUAGAAAGAAAUCAUUGAGUUUCAGCUCUUUCUCCAAACAUCUCCUCCCUUUCCCUUUCCCAGACCCAGACAGGGGCACACACACAGACCGGCGACCGACCACGCUAUCUAGCCAACCAUUAAGUGUGUGUGUGAGGAAGUGUGUGUGUUUUUUUUUCUUUGAGUAGAAAGAAUGAAGUAAGGAAAAGAAGUUAGUGGGUAUUUGCACUCUGUGCCCGUGUUUGGUAACCCAGGAUCCCUUUAAAAUAAUUUCACUUGACGGUGAAACCUGGAAGUGGAAAGUUUAUAACUGUGAAAAGUCACAGGACUUGGGUUGCCAUGGGGUGUUGGUGGUGCUGGCUACUGGUAACCUUGCUAUGGGUUUCCACGAUAACAAACCCAUGCCUUGGCCAGAGUGGUGACAGUAGCGACUGGGGCUCGGGCUUCGAUGUCUCCAUGACGACCCUCAGCAGCAACAAGAACACGUCCUCCUCCCAGGAGCCAGGAGAUUACCCUGCGGGUUCAGAAACAGAGACAAGAGAAUCCUGGGUAAAAAUACUUCCACCUAAGCCAGUGUUCCACUACAAGCCGGAGCCAGAUGAGUGCUCUGUCCACUUCAGCACCAGUCAGGCUUCCGCCAGGCGCCUCAAGGCCCAGAGAGAAGAGUUGGCCUACCUGAAGGCUAUACAGCAUGGGAACCAGGCGGUGGUGGAGAACCUAGUCCAGUACAUAGGAGCAGAGCUGGGGGAUGAGCAGCGCUACGAGGACGUCAUCGAGGAAAACAUAGUGGGCAUCAGGGAGGAGCAGCAGAGCUGUAACGGUGUGGUCCAGAAGGUGAUGGAGGAUCUGGAGGGACAGCUGGAAGGAGAUGUACUGGAGGCUCUGACUGGGAUACGGAAACAUUCACAACCCUACUGUGUCCUCAUCAGAACCAAGAUGUGGCCUGGGUCUGAGUGAUGUAUUUACCUUAAUAACCAUCAUCAAGGCCUCUCUGCGGUUUAAUUACUAAUCAAAGAGGAGUCCCUAACGUUUGAGGGCCUCUUCCAGGCAGCAGCAGACAUCGCCAAGGGGCUGGAUACCUUGUCUCAGACCCUCCACGCCUCCUUCACCAAACAGCUCAAAGACUCUCUCAAAACUUUACAUCGCUAAAGAGACUUACUAUCCUCCAUCGCUAAGGAGAUUGUCUGGUCUCAGAUCUGUUUGUGCGGUCUCUCCAGUUCCUAUGGUCCUUGCUAUCACUCUUUUGUAGCCUGGUCUCAGAUCUGUUUGUGCUGUCUCUCCAGUUCCUAUGGUCUUUGCUGUGACUAUUUUGUAGCCUGGUCUCAGAUCUGUUUGUGCAAGAGAGCACAAACAGCUAUUGGACCAGGCAACUAAGGCCUAGAUUAAAUUAGAUCAAGUGUAAAGCGGCAAUAGCCGACACCCACAUAGCUGAUGUUUUGGCGGUGUCGGAGGUGUAACUACUCAUAAAUCGGUGAGCAGCAGCUCAUGUGAUCAUUGUCAUGAAGUUCAGAACAAUAAAGUAUAGGCUAUAUAGAAAUAAUUACACUGAAACUAAAAAAAUCAUUCAAUUAUGUCAUGAAGAUUUAUAUUAGACUAACCGAGGUGUAGAUUAGAUCUCAAACUCCAAUGUUCGAAAUUUCCCUUAAUGUGACUCUGUGCAGCCAAUUGCAAUGUCCACUUUAGGUAUAAAUCUGGGAGCCGCUUGUGGAUUUGACAGUUCUAAUGCAUUCCACCUCUGCCGCCGCCAAAACAACCGCUAUGAGGAUGUCUGCUAGCGCAGAUCUGAUAGAAUCUAUCCCUAAGAAGAACUCUCUCCUCUUCUUCUCUCCAUCCUACUCUACUUCCCUCCCUCCUACUCUUCUUCUGCCCCUCCUACUAUUCUUCUCUCCCUCCUACUUCCCUCCUACUCUUCUUCAAUCCCUCCUACUCUUCUUCACUCCCUCC